rnacentral:tRNA from 1 species
UGUCUAGUAGCUCAGUUGGUAGUAGCAGGUGACUGUUAAUCACCCGGUCGCAGGUUCGAUCCCUGCCUAGACAGCCA